AAAAGAAAAAAAAAAAAAAAAAAAAAAAGAAAUCAUGAAGGCUGCAGGCUCAUUGGGUGUGGUUGUAUGCUUGUUCUUGGUGGUGGUUCCCAUGGCAGAAGGGGACACCACGCCCAGCCAAUGCAAGCAGGAGAAGGACCUUCUUGUGAGUGCAUGCAAGAGCGCAGUGAUCAAUAAUAUAAUCGGGCGCAGCCCCUCUGCAUACUGCUGCCAAAUUGUCAAGGUGACUCAUGUCGAGUGUGUGUGCCCUUAUGUCACCCCCAAACUGGCCAAUUUGAUCCCUCUCCAACGUACGAUUAAGCAGAUUGAAGGCUGUGGAAGAAGCGUCCCUCGCAACUUCAAGUGUGGCAGUGAGUUCAUCUCUCUCUCUCUCUCUCUAUGACCUCAGUAAUCUUUAACAUGAAUUGAUUAAUCUUAUAGCUGAUCUGAUUACUCUUGGUUAAUCUUAUUUUUUUUGCAGGUAUCACCACUCCACCAUAAGAUAAGAAGACGAAUAUUCUAGCUAGCUACAAGAAUA
rnacentral:lncRNA from 1 species